rnacentral:tRNA from 2 species
UGGGGCGUAGCCAAGCGGCAAGGCAGCGGAUUUUGAUUCCGCCAUGCGGAGGUUCGAAUCCUCCCGCCCCAGCCA